rnacentral:rRNA from 1 species
AGGAUAAACGCUGGCGGCGUGCCUAAUCAAUGCGAGUCGAACGGGCACCUUCGGGUGUCAGUGGCGUCCGGGUGAGUAACGCGUAGCUAACCUGCCCACAGGUGGGGAUACCCGCCAGAAAUGGCGGCUAAUACCGCAUAGCGUGACGAGGGGGUGACCUUCGGCACGAAAGCCGCAAGGUGUCUGUGGAGGGGCUGCGUCCGAUUAGCUGGUCGGUGGGUAACGCCUACCGAGGCGACGAUCGGUAGCUGGU